CAACAGUUCAGAUGAAAAUAUCCCAUUCCUAACUCCUUCCCUGACAUUGCCCAAGUGGCAGGAAGAAUUAUUUGAGAUGAAUUCCUUGGUUUUUAAAUUGAUUUUGUGUCCCGUAGGUUUCCUCCGUAAAGUGGGGAUAAUCCGCAUGAGGAUGCAAAAAUGUAACAGUUAAUGCCGGCAGUAAGCUCUGAAGAUAAGUACCUUGGUCAGGCCCUUGUGGGGAGCUGGAGGUCAACACCAGGCUGCAGCAUGCUGCCACAUGCAGUCUCUCGCCAGGUGACCUGGAGAACAUGCUGCUUGCUUUUCUGCCUCAUCAGGUGGAAGCCUAGCAGAGACUACUCAGAGACCAGGGACUGGGUAGCUGUGUAA
rnacentral:lncRNA from 1 species